rnacentral:misc_RNA from 1 species
UUUCCGUAGGUGAACCUGCGGAAGGAUCAUUACCGAGUGAGGGCCCUCUGGGUCCAACCUCCCACCCGUGUUUAUCGUACCUUGUUGCUUCGGUGGGCCCGCCUCACGGCCGCCGGGGGGCACCCGCCCCGGGGCCGCGCCCGCCGAAGACACCAUUGAACGCUGUCUGAAGAUUGCAGUCUGAGCAUCUUAGCUAAAUCAGUUAAAACUUUCAACAACGGAUCUCUUGGUUCCGACAUCGAUGAAGAACGCAGC